GCAUACAAAGACGAGUGCAGAGAGGAGAAGAAAUCGACUCUGUGCGCUUGCAGCAGUGACAUGUCUGUUGAUGAAACACCAAUUACACUGCUAAAGGGUAGCAGCAGCCAAACGACAGAGGAAUCCCAUGCCUCAGAUGAACUGAAAAAUGUGGUUAAAACGCUGGCUGUGCUCCUCAACAGCAGGAACGAUGAAGAGAAGCCCGGCUACUGGACCAGAGUGACUAAAACAAUCAACAAAGUUUUCUUCAUUUUCUAUGUCAUAGCUGCCAGUUUGUUUUUAGUCUGUAUGUUUUUCCAUUGGACUAGUGAACAACAAUAAUGGUGCUUCAUAAUGACACAUGACUGAAAUAUAGUUCCCCUUGUUAUUACAAGCAAGUCACAGAAAGGGUUCAGGGGAAACCUGGCCCUGCGUAUUAUAUCCUGCAUCAUCAGAGCUCUUUAUACUAUGCAGUCAGUAAUGUUUGCAUGUUUUGCACACUGCUGCUAUCUAACAUGUAUACUCAGUAUAAUCGGUAAAGAUAUGCCAUUAGGUUGUAGAUUAACAUGCCUUUGAUUUGUGACAUGCACACUGAUGGUGCUGUUCCACCACUACAUCCAAAAUAUAAGAAUAUUAAAUAAUAUUACAAAGGAUGCAUGAAGAUCAAGAUAAACAACAAUACUAACAUGAAGUCAC